GAUGAAGAACGUAGCGAAAUGCGAUAAGUAAUGUGAAUUGCAGAAUUCAGUGAAUCAUCGAAUCUUUGAACGCACAUUGCGCCCCUUGGUAUUCCGAGGGGCAUGCCUGUUCGAGCGUCAUUAUAACCCCUCAAGCUCAGCUUGGUGUUGGGGCCUGCUGCACUGGCAGCCCUUAAAAUCAGUGGCGGCGCCAUCUGGCUCUAAGCGUAGUAAUUCUUCUCGCUAUGGAGUCCUGGUGGAUGCUUGCCAUCAUCCCCCAAUUUUUCUAUGGUUGACCUCGGAUCAGGUAGGGAUACCCGCUGAACUUAAGCAUAUCAAUAAGCGGAGGA
rnacentral:misc_RNA from 1 species